UGUCUAUGAAGUGAUCCUCUGAAGCUGAGGCCAACAUCUUGCCAUCAUGGCUGAAACUCGGUGUCCUCACAGGCCAGUCAAACCUGGAGAAACAGCAGACACACACUAGCUCCUCUGUGUUCCAGAGGCUGACCAGGGCGUAGGCACUUCCUGUAGUGAAGUAAGAGCCAGUGGGAUCGAACUUGAUGCCGAUACAGUUGGAUGGAUGGGCGCUGAUGGGCUGAAUGGGCUUCAGCUCUGGGUAACUGAGAAUAUUGAUAUGAAGACAGGUCUGUUUGACUUGAUGUGGACCUGAGUUCACCAGUGGUACCCAGACAGAACCAACAGCAGCCAACAGGUUAUAG